UGCUCAGUUCCAGCUUCCUUUGUGUGCAAGGUGACCCCAGUUCAUGUGAAUCUCAUUUGUGAUGCAGCUGACGGUUCAAAACCUAAACAAAUCCUGUCAGCUGGCAAUUCCUCUGCAGCCCUGUGCAAUUACACCAUCACAGAACAUGCCUGUUCCUCUGCUGCAUAUCUCACAUCCAGCAACUUGGUCACACU